AUAUGGAUAAUAAGAAUUGCCUCCAUCCUUCUGUUUGAGAGCAACCUAAUCAGCAGAAGAAGAGCCCAGAACACUGCGGUCCAUCCCACAGGGUGUAUGACAUCAGACCCCACCAGAAUCAGUAACACGUGUAGCCAAUUAGCAACCAAGGACCAUGGAAAAGGUUUGGUUUUUGUAUUAAAACCAGAGAUAAGGUUAGCUGAAUUGUUUCUUUAGUUUGUAUUUCUAAGCUACAUUGUAUUCAUCUUUCUAACAUUACUAACACAUGCACACUUUCCCUUUGUAAUUGUCUUUCUUUGUUAUUACAUGUAUGAAUUUUAAAUGUAUUUUUAUUCUAUGUUUUUAAAUUCUUUUAGACUUGAAUAAUCUUGUAUCAGUUUCUAUCUUUGCGAAGGAUAGAGUAAAGCAUUAGACAGACAGACAGUUGCAGGCCACACACCAAAUAUGAAAGCAUUGCAAGGAUCCGGAUACAGAGUAUCCACUAUGACAACAGAUGAAAAGCUUAGAAAAAUCAGUCCUGCUAUGGAGAUCAACUUGAUGACUCUUGAAUGAAAGCGUGAAGAGUAAGGAUGGACAACAGUCCUAACAUGGAAUUGGGGACUCUCCUGUUUGAGAGAAAUCUGGUCAGCAAAAAGAGAGUCCAGUACACUGAGGCUAAUUUCACAG